rnacentral:rRNA from 1 species
GAUGAACGCUGGCGGCGUGCCUAAUACAUGCAAGUCGAGCGAAUAGACGAGGAGCUUGCUCCUUUGACGUUAGCGGCGGACGGGUGAGUAACACGUAGGUAACCUACCUAUAAGACUGGGAUAACUUCGGGAAACCGGAGCUAAUACCGGAUAAUAUUUCGAACCGCAUGGUUCGAUAGUGAAAGAUGGCUUUGCUAUCACUUAUAGAUGGACCUGCGCCGUAUUAGCUAGUUGGUAAGGUAACGGCUUACCAAGGCAACGAUACGUAGCCGACCUGAGAGGGUGAUCGGCCACACUGGAACUGAGACACGGUCCAGACUCCUACGGGAGGCAGCAGUAGGGAAUCUUCCGCAAUGGGCGAAAGCCUGACGGAGCAACGCCGCGUGAGUGAUGAAGGUCUUCGGAUCGUAAAACUCUGUUAUUAGGGAAGAACAAACGUGUAAGUAACUGUGCACGUCUUGACGGUACCUAAUCAGAAAGCCACGGCUAACUACGUG